UACAGAGGGGGCAAGCGUUGUUCGGAAUUACUGGGCGUAAAGGGCGCGUAGGCGGCCUGUUAAGUCGAACGUGAAAUCCCCGGGCUCAACCCCGGGAACUGCGUCCGAUACUGGCAGGCUUGAAUCCGGGAGAGGGAUGUGGAAUUCCAGGUGUAGCGGUGAAAUGCGUAGAUAUCUGGAGGAACACCGGUGGCGAAGGCGACAUCCUGGACCGGUAUUGACGCUGAGGCGCGAAAGCCCAGGGGAGCAAAACGGGG
rnacentral:rRNA from 1 species